UCAAGCGAAUAAGUGCAUGUGGUGGAUGCCUUGGCGAUCACAGGCGAUGAAGGACGUAGUAGCUUGCGAAAAGCUGCGGGGAGCUGGCAAACGAGCUUUGAUCCGCAGAUGUCCGAAUGGGGAAACCCGGCCCGUAUGGGUCAUCCCUUGCUGAAUACAUAGGCAAGGGAGGCGAACGCAGUGAACUGAAACAUCUAAGUAGCUGCAGGAAAAGAAAUCAACCGAGAUUCCCAAAGUAGUGGCGAGCGAAAUGGGAACAGCCUUGUACUCUUUAGCAGUAUUGUUAGCGGAACGGAAUGGAAAGUCCGGCCAUAGUGGGUGAUAGCCCCGUACGCGAAAACAGUAUUGUGGAACUAGGUGUACGACAAGUAGGGCGGGACACGUGAAAUCCUGUCUGAAGAUGGGGGGACCAUCCUCCAAGGCUAAAUACUCGUGAUCGACCGAUAGUGAACCAGUACCGUGAGGGAAAGGCGAAAAGAACCCCGGGAGGGGAGUGAAAUAGAUCCUGAAACCGCAUGCAUACAAACAGUCGGAGCCUGGAAACGGGUGACGGCGUACCUUUUGUAUAAUGGGUCAGCGACUUACAUUCAGUGGCAAGCUUAACCGAUUAGGGAAGGCGUAGCGAAAGCGAGUCCGAAUAGGGCGUUCAGUCGCUGGGUGUAGACCCGAAACCAAGUGAUCUAUCCAUGGCCAGGUUGAAGGUGCGGUAACACGUACUGGAGGACCGAACCCACUAACGUUGAAAAGUUAGGGGAUGAGCUGUGGAUAGGGGUGAAAGGCUAAACAAACUUGGAAAUAGCUGGUUCUCUCCGAAAACUAUUUAGGUAGUGCCUCGUGUCUCACCUUCGGGGGUAGAGCACUGUCAUGGUUGGGGGGUCUAUUGCUGAUUACCCCGCCAUAGCAAACUCCGAAUACCGAAGAGUGCAAUCACGGGAGACAGACAUCGGGUGCUAACGUCCGGUGUCAAGAGGGAAACAACCCAGACCGCCAGCUAAGGUCCCUAAGAUUGGCUAAGUGGGAAACGAAGUGGGAAGGCUAAAACAGUCAGGAGGUUGGCUUAGAAGCAGCCACCCUUUAAAGAAAGCGUAAUAGCUCACUGAUCGAGUCGUCCUGCGCGGAAGAUGUAACGGGGCUAAGCCAGUCACCGAAGCUGCGGAUGCACGUAAGUGCAUGGUAGGAGAGCGUUCUGUAAGCCUGUGAAGGUGUCUUGUAAAGGAUGCUGGAGGUAUCAGAAGUGCGAAUGCUGACAUGAGUAGCGAUAAAGGGGGUGAAAGGCCCCCUCGCCGUAAGCCCAAGGUUUCCUACGCAACGUUCAUCGGCGUAGGGUGAGUCGGCCCCUAAGGCGAGGCAGAGAUGCGUAGCUGAUGGGAAGCAGGUUAAUAUUCCUGCACCGUCGUAUGAUGCGAUGGGGGGACGGAUCGCGGAAGGUUGUCCGGGUGUUGGAAGUCCCGGUCCCUACAUUGGAGAUGGCACUUAGGCAAAUCCGGGUGCGUGAUUCAAGGGUGUGGGGCGAGCGACGUUAGGUCGCGAAGCAAUUGGAAGUGGUUCCAAGAAAAGCCUCUAAGCUUCAGUCAUACGAGACCGUACCGCAAACCGACACAGGUGGGCGAGAUGAGUAUUCUAAGGCGCUUGAGAGAACUCGGGAGAAGGAACUCGGCAAAUUGGUACCGUAACUUCGGGAUAAGGUACGCCCUUGUAGUUUGACUGGCUCGCGCCAGAAGGAUGAAGGGGUUGCAAUAAAAUGGUGGCUGCGACUGUUUAAUAAAAACACAGCACUCUGCAAACACGAAAGUGGACGUAUAGGGUGUGACGCCUGCCCGGUGCCGGAAGAUUAAAUGAUGGGGUGCAAGCUCUUGAUUGAAGUCCCGGUAAACGGCGGCCGUAACUAUAACGGUCCUAAGGUAGCGAAAUUCCUUGUCGGGUAAGUUCCGACCUGCACGAAUGGCGUAACGAUGGCCACACUGUCUCCUCCCGAGACUCAGCGAAGUUGAAGUGUUUGUGAUGAUGCAAUCUCCCCGCGGCUAGACGGAAAGACCCCAUGAACCUUUACUGUAGCUUUGCAUUGGACUUUGAACCGAUCUGUGUAGGAUAGGUGGGAGGCUUUGAAACCGGGACGCUAGUUUCGGUGGAGCCGACCUUGAAAUACCACCCUGGUUUGUUUGAGGUUCUAACCUUGGCCCGUGAAUCCGGGUCGGGGACAGUGCAUGGUAGGCAGUUUGACUGGGGCGGUCUCCUCCCAAAGUGUAACGGAGGAGUUCGAAGGUACGCUUGGUACGGUCGGACAUCGUACCUAAAGUGCAAUGGCAAAAGCGUGCUUAACUGCGAGACCGACAAGUCGAGCAGGUGCGAAAGCAGGACAUAGUGAUCCGGUGGUUCUGUAUGGAAGGGCCAUCGCUCAACGGAUAAAAGGUACUCUGGGGAUAACAGGCUGAUACCGCCCAAGAGUUCAUAUCGACGGCGGUGUUUGGCACCUCGAUGUCGGCUCAUCUCAUCCUGGGGCUGUAGCCGGUCCCAAGGGUAUGGCUGUUCGCCAUUUAAAGAGGUACGUGAGCUGGGUUUAAAACGUCGUGAGACAGUUUGGUCCCUAUCUGCCGUGGGCGUUGGAAUCUUGACGGGGGCUGCUCCUAGUACGAGAGGACCGGAGUGGACGUACCGCUGGUGUACCUGUUGUCUCGCCAGAGGCAUCGCAGGGUAGCUAUGUACGGAAGAGAUAACCGCUGAAAGCAUCUAAGCGGGAAACUCGCCUGAAGAUGAGGAUUCCCUGGAGACUUGAUCUCCCUGAAGGGUCGUUCGAGACCAGGACGUUGAUAGGCUGGGUGUGGAAGCGCAGUAAUG
rnacentral:rRNA from 1 species